rnacentral:misc_RNA from 1 species
AACCAUAGAAACCUGCGGAGUACCUGCGGAGGGAUCAUUAUAGUAUAUGGAAUCUCCAUUCUAUAAACCCACUCUGCGUAUCUUGUAACUGUUGCUUCCAUGGGACUUGGUUCCGCCACACCGGCUUCACGGCUGGUGAGCGCCCAUGGAAGGAGAAACAGAACUCUUCUUUGAAAUGUAGUCAGUCUGAACAAGUUUUUAUAAACGUUAAAACUUUCAGCAAUGGAUCUCAGAUCGGAA